GACGAACGCUGGCGGCGUGCUUAACACAUGCAAGUCGAACGGAAAGGCCCUGCUUUUGUGGGGUGCUCGAGUGACGAACGGGUGAGUAACACGUGAGUAACCUGCCCUUGACUUUGGGAUAACUUCAGGAAACUGGGGCUAAUACCGGAUAGGAGCUCCUGCUGCAUGGUGGGGGUUGGAAAGUUUCGGCGGUUGGGGAUGGACUCGCGGCUUAUCAGCUUGUUGGUGGGGUAGUGGCUUACCAAGGCUUUGACGGGUAGCCGGCCUGAGAGGGUGACCGGCCACAUUGGGACUGAGAUACGGCACAGACUCCUACGGGAGGCAGCAGUGGGGAAUAUUGCACAAUGGGCGGAAGCCUGAUGCAGCAACGCCGCGUGCGGGAUGACGGCCUUCGGGUUGUAAACCGCUUUCGCCUGUGACGAAGCGUGAGUGACGGUAAUGGGUAAAGAAGCACCGGCUAACUACGUG
rnacentral:rRNA from 1 species